GCGCGCGGAUACCACCCUGAACGCGCCCCAUCUCGUCUGAUCUCGGAAGCUGAGCGGGGUCGGGCCUGGUUAGUACUUGGAUGGGAGACCGCCUGGGAAUGCCGGGUGCCGUAGGCU
rnacentral:rRNA from 1 species